UUAACAGUAGUUUCAACAGCAAUGUCAAACGGGUUCUUAAUAUACGAAACAUCCCACACUUCCAAGAUAGUCACCCAAUUAGGAUUAAUUUUUCUUAGGGAAGUUAUAGCACAAAAAAUUGAAGGGAGUUUUGCCCUUUGUGAAGUUAGACGAGCCACUGAAACCAAAAAGUUUUGACAGCUUAAGCCAUUGAAUUCUCCAAGGUCACAGAACAGAACAAUAUAGAAAGGAAAGAAGCAGUGCACUGCCAUUUUGGUUUUACUGUGUGCCUUAACAGUAUGUUUGCAUGAAGAACAUAUAUUUUGCAUGGUGAAAGGUCCAGCUCUUUCUCUCAAUUUACACUCUUUGUAUACUUUAAAUUGUGAAAUAACAAAUAUAAUUCAUUAUUUUAAUGUGAUUAUAUUCUAAUGUAUAGUGAUAAAACUUCAGACAAGAG
rnacentral:misc_RNA from 1 species